rnacentral:rRNA from 1 species
UACGGAGGGUGCAAGCGUUAAUCGGAUUUACUGGGCGUAAAGGGCGCGUAGGCGGAUAGGAAAGUCAAAUGUGAAAUUCCGAGGCUCAACUUCGGAGCUGCAUUUGAAACUAAAUAUCUAAAGAGGUAUGGCGGAGAAAAUGGAAUUCCACGUGUAGCGGUGAAAUGCGUAGAUAUGUGGAAGAACACCCGUGGCGAAAGCGGCGCGCUGGACCACUACUGACGCUGAGGAACGAAAGCGUGGGGAGCAAACAGG